CCUACGGGCGGCAGCAGUGGGGAAUAUUGCACAAUGGGCGCAAACCUGAUGCAGCCAUGCCGCGUGUGUGAAGAAGGCCUUCGGGUUGUAAAGCACUUUCAGCGGGGAGGAAGGCGGUGAGGUUAAUAACCUCAUCGAUUGACGUUACCCGCAGAAGAAGCACCGGCUAACUCCGUGCCAGCAGCCGCGGUAAUACGGAGGGUGCAAGCGUUAAUCGGAAUUACUGGGCGUAAAGCGCACGCAGGCGGUCUGUCAAGUCGGAUGUGAAAUCCCCGGGCUCAACCUGGGAACUGCAUUCGAAACUGGCAGGCUAGAGUCUUGUAGAGGGGGGUAGAAUUCCAGGUGUAGCGGUGAAAUGCGUAGAGAUCUGGAGGAAUACCGGUGGCGAAGGCGGCCCCCUGGACAAAGACUGACGCUCAGGUGCGAAAGCGUGGGGAGCAAACAGGAUUAGAUACCCGAGUAGUC
rnacentral:rRNA from 1 species